GGCUUUGCAGGUGUCUAUAACCAGCCAAGGGGUAUGACCCACCCCGGUGGAGAUCUGGGUUCCUUUUUCCACAGCCACACUCACUGCCACUUCUCCAGCUCCCGGAGGCAACACAGAUGAAUAGGCAGGAAGACUGUACUAGGGAGCCAUAAGUUUGGGGUGGAGCUGGGUUUGAAUCUCAGCUCCACUACUUACUGUGACCUAAAGCAAAGUGUGUAAUCUCUCUGGGCCUCAGGGUUCUUCUCUCCUAUGAUCACAGUGAGGACUGAAGGAGUUAACGCACGUAAGGAGUUUUAGAACCUAGCCUGGCACAUUGUAAAUACUUUACGUUUUAUCAUGAUUAUGGCUAUUCUUUUUUGAAUCACAAGGAAGAGAAAAAUUAGAAAUCUGAAGAAUAGAGGGUUUUAAAAUGCUCUCAAAUUUCUUAACUAUCUAUAAGUACUAUGUGCUCUGACAUGCAUUUAGAGGUUCUAGAGAAAAAUAAUUUUUUGACAUCAGCUUAGUACAAACUAUUCUAAAACAUCUUCUGCCUUUGGGACAGAACUCCAAGUAUAGGACACUUGCAGUGGGAUCCAGCAGUGGCCCUGCCUUAUCUACAAAAAGGCAUGAGUCACAUGGUGAUGAGGCUAAGUCCAUUUCUGAGGUCCCCUCCUCCUCCCCACCUCCUACUUCCCCUUGAUAUUUUUUUUUCCUGAAAAAUCUAAAAGUUUAUUGAACCGAGUUUCAAGAAUGAGUAACUCAACUAGGCUUGCAGUCUAAAUCUGCCAUCCAUUAUAUUAAUUUCUAUCCAAUGUAUCGAAUGACCUGCUCCAGGAAAAUGCUCCUUUUGGUGGGAUGGGGGUGAGUAAAGAGAGAGGCAAUGAAACCCAAAUUUAAAAUGACUUAAGUCUUACACCUCCAGGAGUAUGUCAUAGGGAGUGGGAAGCGGGGCAAGGAAGGAAUGUUGGUGAGGCCAAACUCAAACCAGAGUCAAACCCUUUACCCUAACAUCCCCAAGUAUAGAAUGUGGUUAAUAGGAAGGCGCGAACGUCCAAACCAAACGCUGACUCUCGAAGGGUCAGGAGGGGAAGCAUCACAUGGAGAAGUCACUUGACCAUUUCUUCCUCUAUUUGGGACACUCUUGCCUCCAGCUGAUUCCGCUGGGGAGGAAAGUCUCCCACUUGCUUCUCUUCGGCUCCCUCUUCUUUCUCAUCUGCAAGGGUUGUGUAAAGACAUCCCCCGCCACCCAGUUGCAAAAAGUAGCAACUUCCCUUCCGCCUGAGUGAACGUGCAUUUGAAUGCGUUUCCUUUUCAUUAAGAACAAAGGUUGGAGUCCGAGCCUUGCAGCGGGGACAGGAAAGUACGCAGCGUGUAUCGAGAGAAAAAACACAGAGAGAGAGUGACCCACGAGAAAGGGAAAGGGGAAAACACCAAUCCUCCAGGCACUGGGCUUUUUCGACUUUUCCUUUAAAAAGAAAAAAAGUUUUUCUAGCUGUAGGUUCCAAGAACAGGCAGGAGGGGGGCAAGGCGGGGGGUUUUACAGAAAAGGCGCCUGGUCGGUUAUGAGUCACAAACGGAUUAUAAAAGGGUCGCAUGUUCACAGGCGCGGGCUUCCUGUGCACCGCCGAGCUGGGGCGCAGCGCACCCCGCCACGUCGGGCUCCUCCAGCCGGGGGACCGGAGCCGACCAGGAGCCGAGCCCCCAGCACAGACGCACGGGAAAGGAAGGAGGCCCCUCCAGCCCGACAGGUGGCGCAAACCAGGAAGGGGAAAUCUGUGGUUUAAAUUCUUUGUGCCUCAUCCUCUGAAUGCUGGAGGUGCGCUGUAGGCGGUAUGCUGUUAAUGCUAAUCGUGAUAGGGGUUUUACCUCCGACUGACUCCUACAUGUUAGCAUUAACAGGGUAUGAUGCCUGUUACUAGCAUUUACAUGGAACAAAUGGCUGCCGUGGGAGGAUGACAAAGAAGCAUGAGUCGCCCUGCUGGAUAAACUUAGACUUCAGACUUUAUUAUUUUUUAAUUUGUUAAUCAUAAUCUGGCCUCUGGGAUGUUCUACCUUAAAUUAAGUUUUAAGAGUCAGGUCAUUUAAAAGAUUUAUCAGCGGUAUUCUGAAUGCGAACAUUUUUACUUUAAUCUUCAAGUCCACAUUUCUGUUUUUAUGUUUAAAGGAAAAUGUAUUCAUGUCAUUUUUAAUUCUAAGUUAUGGUUUGUUAAUUAUAAUUGUUUACAAGCACUUUUAAUGAUUAGACUGGAAGACAUACAGACUAAAUACAUUUUGAAACAAAUUUCUAGAAUAUCUUUCUUGUUAGAAAUUAGGACUACUAUCCUCCAGUUACAUCAUAGAUUAUCUAGCAACAUUUUAAAAAAGAUUUAGCAAUUGUUAUUUCCACUAUGUAAUAAUUUUCUAUUUACACAACUUCAGUUUGAAAUUAAUAUGUUAUACAAAUUGCAAGCUAUAAAAAUAGUCACAGGGAUGUAAAGUACAGCUUAGGGAAUAUAGUCGAUAACACUGUAAUAACUAUGGGUACUAGACUUACCGUGAUCACUUCGUAAGGUAUAUGUCUAAUCACUAUGAUGUAUACUUGAAAUUAAUAUAAUAUUGUAUGUCAACUAUCAUUGAAAAAUAAAUUUAAAAAAAUAAUAAUACUUAUAUUUGAAUCUUAAGGGGGAAUUGAAAGGCUAUCACAUUGAAUUUGUAUUUAAAAAAUGAAAUGCUUUUUAACAAGUAGAAUGGUAAAUGAUGUCUGAGAGCCAACUCCCUAUCUUUUUCCUAUAAAAUACAAAGAUUUAAUUGUAAAAAUUCUAUAUUUGAAAUUAGAUCCCAAACCUAGGUUUAAUAGCUUAGCCACAUAAUUCUCAGACCCAUUGGGUCAGAAAUCCACUUUUCUUCUCCAAGCCUGUUUCUAAUCCACAGAAUGGGGCUAAUACUUUACAUAGUUAGUGAGAGGCAUACAUAAGAUAGAGAACUUUGUAAAAUAUAAAGUGCUUCCUUAAUGUUAUAGUAAAAUAAUCCAAGAACAGUUCCUCCCACUCUGUUAGAAAAAAGCUAGUGAUUUGAUAGAAUUUUUAAGGUUUGGACCUCUAUGCAAUUUUUCUCCAUAAUUAACUAUAUCACUUACAAAUAACCAAUUGUAAUUGUUAGCAUACUUAGUGUAUGCUUGUAUUAGCAACUCUUCUUCACAUUCGUCAAAGUUAUGCACUAUAACCAAAUAAAUCUCUUGAGUCUUUAGCUAUUUAAAAUAACUUUUUUUUGGACUUUUUCUUUUGCGAGGUACAAUCUAAUUUCAGAAGUUGUUUACACAGACACAGACACACACAAGACGAUGGGGGAAAAUUGCGAGAAUCCUAAGGGUAACAUUCCCGACUCCUAGGACAUAGUCCGCUUACUGAGGGUACUCCCUUGGCCCAGCCCCGCUUUGUGUUCAAGUUGUGUGUGCUGCCAGGAUAGAUUCUCUUCUUAACCUUUGGAAUGGACAUCUGGCUCCAUGGAGCCCCAGGUAUAUGCGUCACAUUCAAGGGUGUUUCUUCAGACUAUUCAUUUUAUAUAUACUGUUUAUCUAUAAGAAGAGUCCUUGUUUUGAGUCCCAAUUCUUCAAAAUCCCACUUGCUGCAUAAAGCCACAAAGUCCCAGAAUGUCAGGCCUGGAACAGGCUAAUCUAGUAUUGCCUUUCUGCUGUUACAAUGAAAAGCUAUGACCAUCAAAAAGGAAGUUUAAGAAAAACUGUGCUGUGGAAUGCAUUAUUUGAAGAGUACUAGACUACACUACAUGAAACUUGAGUUACUUAAUCUCUCUAAGCCUCAAUUUCCUCACCAGUAAAAUGAUGAAUAUGUUUCACAAGGAUGGUAGGCUUAAAUAAAAUAGUGCAUAUAAAGAGCACGAUACCUAUUAUGCAUUAAGGGUUAAACACUACCUUUAAAACCAUGUUCAUUAUAUCUAUUUCAGUCAUCUAAAUCAAAUGAUCUACCAUAGCAGAUUAUCCAUAAUCCCAUGAUGACGACCCAGGGAACCUAGAUGCUGCCAGGAUCACUUGGUUUUCUCUGACGCCCAACUCUCCUAGGCUUCUAGCUCCUGAUCUGGUCUUAGACGACUCCUCCUGACCAAUAGCCUCAGUCAUUCCAAAAAUUCUUGGAGCAUAAGUCUGGGUUUGGCUUGGGGGAAGGGUUAAGUAGCAAAGAAGUGUGAAUGUGAGCGUGUAUGCCUGCAUGCGUGUGUGUGUUUUGAAGUGACAAAGGGUGAUUGAAGGAAAAGUGGAUUCUGUGGUAGAAAAGGUAAAAAGAACCCAAUUUUGUACACAGAAUGCUGAAUUGAGGCACUAAAUUAUGCAGGACAUGGUUUCUUUGAAAAAAAUUGAAUGUCAGGGAGGUUCUCUAGGAUCCGACCUACUUCUCCAGAAACUUGCUGAAUGAGAGACCAGGCCUUUCCUAUUCACUGUCAGCAGCUAGAUAGACCCAGUAGCUUAAAAAAAAAAAAAAAAAAAGUAAAAAAAUAGAAUAAGAAGAAAAAAA